UGGUGGAGUGAUUUGUCUGGUUGAUUCCGAUAACGAGCGAGAUCUCUGCCUCUCAAUAGUCCCCGGUCUCGAUUUCAGUAGGAGCGGUGCAGCGUGCACUGGGGCCCGGCUUCUCCUGGGGUUUCGUCCCCCAGGGGUGUGUUGUGGUCUUUUGGUUGCACGCCACACGGCCGUUUCCGAGAGUACCGGCAGCUUCUCAGCGGGGCCGCGUGCGCUGCCAAAGCACACGUA
rnacentral:rRNA from 1 species